rnacentral:lncRNA from 1 species
CUUCCCACUAGGCGCGUGGUACCCGAAGCCGGGCUGGAGCCGCAGGCCAGCCGCGAUUCCUGCGGGCGAUGCUGGGGGCUUUCCGGUGGGGGGCCGCAGCCGCUUCCGGAGCCGCGGGCGAGUCGAUUCGCCAUGAGUUUGGCUGGCUGUCUUCUUCCUUCAUGGCUGCUAGUAAUGACUGUUCAGUGGCUGUUUCUUCAGCUGUGCAAAGUUGGAACAUGUCUGGGAGUUCAACGGCAUUGGUUUCUGGUUGGUGCAAGUGGUUCUUCUCUGUCUUCUUUCUAGCCAGUAAAAUUCUCCAGAAGAGGAGAUUUAUGGCAGCCUCACUCCCAGUAGUUUCUGCAUUUAGGGAGAUAAGGAAUGGAUUUUCUUCCGUGUCGCUGACACGAACAGGAGACAGAAAUACUGAGUAGAAGAGGGCGGUUCCCUGGCUAAGGCCCCACCCUCAAGCCUGGAUACCCGCGGCCCUAAAUGAGAAGAGGCAUUUCUGUUUGGGGCCCAAAAAGUUGCCUUUUGACCCGCCACGCCCCCUGUCCUGCCCCCAUAUAAACCCAAACCCCAACCUCCAGAGCAUACCAGCAGGUGAGGAGAUAGGAGGCAAGCCGACUGAC